rnacentral:rRNA from 1 species
CCCUUAGAUGUUCUGGGCCGCACGCGCGCUACACUGAAGGGAUCAGCGUGUUUUCCCUUUCCGAGAGGAACGGGUAACCCGCUGAACCCCCUUCGUAGUAGGGAUCGGAGCUUGCAAUUGUUCUCCGUGAACCAGGAAUUCCCAGUAAGCGCAAGUCAUAAGCUUGCGUUGAUUACGUCCCUGCCCUUUGUACACACCGCCCGUCGCUACUACCGAUUGAACGUUUUAGUGAGGUAUUUGGACUGGGCCUUGGGAGGUUUCGGCCUCCCUUGUUGCUCGGAAAGACUCCCAAACUUGAGCGUUUAGAGGAAGUAAAAGUCGUAACA